GCCAGACUCCUACGGGAGGCAGCAGUGGGGAAUAUUGGGCAAUGGGCGCAAGCCUGACCCAGCAACGCCGCGUGAAGGAAGAAGGCUUUCGGGUUGUAAACUUCUUUUCUCAGGGACGAAGAAAGUGACGGUACCUGAGGAAUAAGCCACGGCUAACUACGUGCCAGCAGCCGCGGUAAUACGUAGGGGGCAAGCGUUAUCCGGAUUUACUGGGUGUAAAGGGAGCGUAGACGGCAGUGCAAGUCUGAAGUGAAAGGCAAGGGCUCAACCCUUGGACUGCUUUGGAAACUGUGCUGCUGGAGUGUCGGAGAGGCAAGUGGAAUUCCUAGUGUAGCGGUGAAAUGCGUAGAUAUUAGGAGGAACUCCAGUGGCGAAGGCGGCUUGCUGGACGAUGACUGACGUUGAGGCUCGAAAGCGUGGGGAGCAAACAGGAUUAGAUCCCCGCGUA
rnacentral:rRNA from 1 species